rnacentral:rRNA from 1 species
GAUGAACGCUGGCGGCGUGCCUAAUACAUGCAAGUCGAGCGAACAGACGAGGAGCUUGCUCCUCUGACGUUAGCGGCGGACGGGUGAGUAACACGUGGAUAACCUACCUAUAAGACUGGGAUAACUUCGGGAAACCGGAGCUAAUACCGGAUAAUAUAUUGAACCGCAUGGUUCAAUAGUGAAAGACGGUUUUGCUGUCACUUAUAGAUGGAUCCGCGCCGCAUUAGCUAGUUGGUAAGGUAACGGCUUACCAAGGCAACGAUGCGUAGCCGACCUGAGAGGGGGGUACGCCCCACCGGGAACUGGGACAGGGCCCGACCCCCAAGGGGGGGAGGCAGAGGGGAACUUUCCCAAAGGGGGAAAACCCGGAGGGGGAACCGCCCGGGGGGGGUGAAAGGUUUUCGGUUUGAAAACCCUUUUUUUUGGGAAAAAAAAAAUUGUAAAGAAACUAGCCCCUCUUUGACGGUACCAAAUAAAAAAGCCCCGGCAAACUACUU